UUCCCGUGUCCCGAGUACCCUAGUUGGAAGUUACCCUGUCCGUCCCCAACUCGGGACGGAGACGGAAGCGCCGCCGCCGCCCUCGACCUGCCCACCCCGCUCUGGAUCCAGCCCCAACGGCUACCCACUAACUCCACUUUCCUUCUAUACCCGCCGCACGCCACCUCGCCGAAGCCGCGCCCGGCAAGGACAAGCCCCCGGCUGCCGCGACCGCCUCUGCCCCGACUAUAAAGGCGCGCCCUUUGGCCGGCCAGCUCCUCCUCUCUUCGCCGAGGCCACUCCUCCUCUCUUCGUCCGGGCCAUGCCUCUCGCUCUCGCCUCGAUUCGUCCUCGACUGGUGCCUCGCCUCCUCUCGCGUCCGGUUUCAUCUUGCUCAUCCCCGCUCGAUUCGUCCGCUCGGAUUAGAAGAAUCAGAUUUGGUUUUGCUCGUCUGCGGGGUUCUGAUUUAUUUGGUUCUGCUCGUUCGUCCUCGCCGUCGUUCGUUCAGAAAUCGCGUCUGGUUCUUUCGAUUCUGCUCGUCCUCGCCGUCGUUCGUUCAGAAAUCGUGCCUGGUUCAUUCGAUUCUGCUCUGCUUGUCCUCGCUGUAGUCCGUUUAGAUCAGAAUCGCGUUUGUUUUGAUUUUGCUUGUCCUCGCCGUCGUCAGUUUAGAUAGAAUCGCGUGUGAUUUGAUUCUGUGCGUUCUCGCCAUAGUCCGUUUGCAAUCGCGUUUGCUUUGAUUCUGCUCGGUCCCCUGUGUUGCUGCUGGGUUCGUUACGCUGAUGCCCUCGCGUGUUCUUCGUGCCGUCUCGUCGUGGGUAUCCGUGCCGUGGAGGAAGCGAGCGGUCGGUCGGUUUGGGUCGUCUGGUUUGCGAACUAGCAAGUCUGUUUGAGAAACUUCUGCGUGCGCUUCUGUCAUCUGAGAGGCGCUCACGUUCCUGCGUUUCUUGUUCGCGUCGGGCCGAUGUUCGCGUCUGCUUUUGAAAUUGGAUUGCCGUUUAUCCGUGGUCGUUCAGAUCGUUCCUCUGUUCUGUCACCUGCGUUGUUCGUCCGUUAUUUUCAUAUCUGAAACGCAUGCGCCCUUUGAUACUACUGUACUUGAUGGAUGUUCAGAUCUCAAACGCUGCCUUGUUCGGAUGGGUUGUUCUGAUUGAAAUUGGAUUGUUGGCCCUCUGUCGAUUCUUGUUCUACUUGCUGUAUGUUCAGGGUGUUACUGCUUAUGUUCUUUUCAAUUGCUUAAUUCUUGUCAUGCUGUGCUUAUGUUCCCAUAUAUGAUUGUGUGUAUUCAGGGGUGCUUAGGCAGAAAGAUUUACUAGAGUGCAAACCAUGUAAUUCCUCAUGUUGCUGCUACUUCACAGUCACAGUGCUUGAAUUUCUUUAUAGCUUUGUCUGAAUCACCCUCACCGCUCUAGAGAAAUCACUUUACUCAUUCAAGUUCUGGAAUGUCUUUAUAGCUUUCUCUGUUUGUGCCCCUAUCUAUGUUUGUUUCUUGUGUGCAAGUGCUCCAUUCUCUGUGUGUGUGACUGCGUGGCUUGAUGGUGAAUAUGUCUGGCUUGACUGUGUGUGUGUGUGUGCGCGCACGUGGCUUGACUGUGUGUGUGUGUGUGACUCUGUGUGGCUUGACUGUGUGUGUGUGACUCUGUGUGGCUUGACUCUGUGUGUGACUUGACUGUGUGUGUGACUCUGUGUGGCUUGACUGAUGUGACUCUGUGAAUAUUGCGUUUGCUUGAUGGUGUGGCUUGUAUGCUUUGUUGAAUGAUUGGUUGUAUAACUUGUGUUUUACAUUGUUGUGGCAUGAUUGAUUGCUGUUUGUUGAAUGUGAACUCGUAUCCAUGUAUGCUAACUUGGUAUUGGUAGUUCCUAAUCAUAGGCAACACACCUAUUACUACUAGCUUGUUUAGUGUAGACUAACUAUUCUUUUUUCUGAUUUUUUGUGUGAUUAUGUCUUCACAUUGCACUGCUCGAUCCAUAUCGACAUGCCCACGCUGCCUGAUGAGGAUAAAGAUGUUAUGAAAAAAUGGGGUGCUCCAAACAAGAUUGACUUCUUCUCUCUCUUAUACAAGGCAUGCAGAAGAUGUGCAGCAAGCGCAGGAGUUCCUCUCUAAGUUAGGUGAUCUUAGUCAAACUCUGUUUUUUCCAAAAUUGAGAAUGUGGAGGGCUUGAACCAUUUUGAUGAGAUCCUGGAAGAAGCAGAUGGUAUAAUUCUGUCACCUUGGAAUUGAUCUUCCACCUGAAAAGGUGUUCUUAUUUCAGAAGUCUGCUCUGCACAAGUGCAAUAUGGCUGGAAAGCCUGCUGUUGUUACUCGUGUUGUGGACAGUAUGACGGACAACCUAAGGCUACUCGUGCGGAGGCAACUGAUGUGGCAAACGCGGUGCUGGAUGGAUAUGCUUUCCGCUAAAGCACCAGCAGCAACCAAGAAGAUUGAAAAAUCCAAUGAAAGUUCUGAUUCUGAAAGCUCUGACUCUGAGAAGCCAGCCACUGAAGUAAAGAAUUCUGCGGUUGCUACUGCACAAAAGAAAAACCAGGAAUUGGAAGGCUCUGACAGUGAUUCUGAUGAUUCAUCAGAAGGAUAUGGCCACUAAAAAACGAGUGGCCAAGAAAGUGGUAGAAUCCAUUGGAAGUUCUGAUUCUGACUCUGAGGAGGAUACCACUGCUAAACCAGUUCAAUCUUCCAAGGUUGUUGCUGUAAGAAUAAAGAAUCUAGUGAUAGCUCAGAUUCUGACUCAGAUUCAGAUUCUGAAGAAGUUCUCUGUUGUACUUGUUUACUCUUGGAUACCGUUGUUAAAACAGUUUCUAUAAAGAAAGAAGAAUCUAGUGCUAGCUCAGAUAAUGACUCGGAUUCAGAUUCUGAUGAACCAGCAAAAUCUACUAUUCCUGCUAAGAGGCCUCUGACAACAGAGAAAAAAGAGCGAACAUUCCAAGGAUGAUUCUGAUGAGAGUGAUGAAGAGCCUGCACUAAAGAAGCCUAAGGAUUCAUCUUCUGGUGGUGCCAAGCCAGUCUCUAAGGUCCCCAAGAAACAAAGCAGUGGUGAUGACGACAGUUCUGAAGGGAGCUCCAGCUGUGAUGAUGAAAACAAUUAAUGAAUGUCAAUGGCAAAGUCCAAGCAGAAUGAAGAACGAAGAUCUGAAUCACCCUCACCCCGCUAGAGAAAUCGGUUUACUCAUUCAAGUUCUGGAAAUUCUUUAUAGCUUUCUGAGUUUACUUCGGUCUUGCAUGUGUUAGCUUUCUGUUUAAUUUGUGCCCCUUUCUCUGUCUGUUUCUUGUGUGCAAGCUCCAUUCUGUGUGUGUGACUGUGUGGCUUGACUCUAUGUGUGUGGCUUUUUUGUGUGUGUUGCUUGACUCUCUAUGUGUGGCUUGAUGGUGAAUAUGUGUGUGGCUUGACUGUGUGUGUGCUUGACUCUGUGUGUCUGUGUGACUCUGUGAAUAUUGCAUUUGCUUGAUGGUGUGGUUUGUAUGCUUUGUUGAAUGAUUGAUUGUGUAUAACUUGUGUUUGUAUGCUUGACUCUAUGUGUGUGGCUUCUUUGUGUGUGUUGCUUGACUCUCUGUGUGUGGCUUGAUGGUGAAUAUGUGUGUGGCUUGACUGUGUGUGUGCUUGACUCUGUGUGUCUGUGUGACUGUGUGAAUAUUGCAUUUUCUUGAUGGUGUGGUUUGUAUGCUUUGUUGAAUGAUUGAUUGUGUAUAACUUGUGUUUUAUAUUGUUGUGGCCUAACACUGCCUUUGCCGGUCCCAAGCCCGGGUGUGAAAAUGUGGAGGGAGCUGCAGUUACCUUCUUUGUAUUGUUUGCAUUAUGAGUGUCGAUAGAAAUUACACAGUUUAGGUUACUGUCGUAAUCGAAUAGUGAAUCUUCGCAUAAUUUGGUAGCAUGUGAUUCAAGCUUUGAAAUGCAUCCUUCCUUGCUAUAAACUUACUGAUUCCUUUCUGAAGUUGUACGGGGUUAGUGUUUUUCUUAUACGAUACCAAAGGGAAGCGAGUAGCUAAGAAUCUAGGCCUAUAAGGGUUCGAUUUUUCUCCCUUUUUGAUUUUCUUUUACGGUGCCUUCUCAGCAUGACGCGUGUGGUGCUUUGGUUUUACUUCUGUGCGUGAUUUUUUAGGUGGAGAGGUCUGCACACACGUUUUGGAUGUUUUGAAGUCCACUGCUUUGACUGUCUCCUGACACUCUGACUGUUUCCAUCUUAGGUGACGUGUGCUUUCUAGUUUUGAUUGUGUCUCCUUGUUUGCCACAUAUCAUUUUUGUAUGUCGGAUUAUUUGGGCCGAUUUUUCUGGGCUCUUCUCAUGGUACGGGUGUGUUCCUUUCUUUUUGCUUCUGCUGCCUAUAAACAAGCUAUUCUGGAGGCCUUAUUUCUCGGUAUCUAGAUUCUUUGCUUUGGGUUUGUGGUAUGGGUUCUUGCAGUUCGGUGUGCUGAUCGGCUGCCUUCUUCUUCUUCGGUUCAUGCUUCUGAUCGAUCUGUUCCAAGUCGCUCUGAAUAUGUUCCUGUUUUGGAUCCUAAUGAAGUGCGCCGGUGUCAGCAUGAGAUUCAACGUGGGAAGCGGCCUAUUUAUUUAUACAACCACGGUCCAUUGGCUGGAGUCGAGGAAAUUCUCAAGCAUAAAACGGCAUCUUCUUACUCAGCAUGCUUUUAAAGAAGUUGGAUGAAGUCGAAGUGGCACGGAUGGCAGCAAUCAACAAGGAAAUUAAGCGUGUGUUGACAGAAGUUCUUCUGAAGGUUAAUGAUGAUCUUUUUAAUGAGAUCGCGGCCAAAGUUAUGAACGAAGAUGAUUCAUCAGCUGAACCAAAUGAGACCACUGGUGUCUCUAGCUCAAAGGAGCUUGGUCUGGGAGAAUCAUAAGUCAAGACCACAGCUGUACUGGUCGUUCUGAUGAUACUGGGCUAAUUCUCCUAAAGGUGCUCUUCUUGGUCUUGCUAAUUAUGAUUCAGAUGAUGCGGGUUUAAUUCCAAAUUUAUCAUCUGAAAUUAAAGUUGGUGCAGCUCAUCCUAAAGAAAGUAAGUUCUUGAAAAACACAAAGCGGACAUGGUUUCCCAGAAUUUAUUUUCUAAAUAAGGGAGAGCCUAUUAUUAACUUUCUGAGUUUACUUCGGUCUUGCAUGUAUUAGCUUUCUGUUUUUGCCCCUAUCUAUGUCUGUUUCUUUCCAUUUCUUGUGUGCACGCGCUCAAUUGUGUUUGUGUGUGUGAUGUGCCCCUAUGUCUGUUUCUGUCUGUUUUUUGCGUGCAAGUGCUACAUUGUGUGUGUGUGAGACUGUGUGUGUGAUGUGCCCAUAUCUAUGCCCGUUUCUUGUGUGCAAGCGCUUGAUUGAGUGUGUGCUUGUGUGACUCUGUGUGUAUUGCUUUGAUGGUGUGGCCUGUAUGCUUUCCUGAAUGAUUGGUGUGUUUUGUAUUGUUGUGGUUU